AACGUAGGAGACAAACGUUAUCCGGAGUUACUGGGCGUAAAGGGCGUGUAGGUGGUUUCGUAAGUCUGGCGUGAAAUUUCUCGGCUUAACCGAGGCAGGUCGUCGGAUACUGCGGAACUUGAGGACGGUAGAGGCGUGUGGAAUUCCUGGUGUAGCGGUGAAAUGCGCAGAUAUCAGGAGGAACACCGAUGGCGAAGGCAGGUCUCUGGGCAUUAACUGACGCUGAGGAGCGAAAGCAUGGGGAGCGAACAGG
rnacentral:rRNA from 1 species